rnacentral:rRNA from 1 species
CCAGACCCCAGCGCCGCAGCCUGACGCAGCCCACCGCGUGAAGGAUGAAUGGCUUUUGCUUGUAAACUUCUUUUUUGAGGGAAUAAAUAUGAAGGUACCUCAAGAAUAAGCAUCGGCUAACUACGUGCCAGCAGCCGCGGUAAAUUUAUG